GAUAAAUCGAUAAGCAAUCAUUUUUUUAUACAAUUACGCAAAAAAGAUGGGUUUUUAUUUGCCGUAACAAAAAAUCUCAUCACUUAGGAAAUUAAAUUCAACGAACCAAUAGUAACAGCCCUACUCCGGUUUUGCAAUAGAAUGACAAUUGAUCAUCCUUCAUUGUCGUGAUUUUGCCAUUGUCAUUGCACGUUGGCAUUCCUAAAAAAAAAUGACAAGCGAAAAGCUUCUGUCAACUUACCAUGCAUGGUGAAAAGUUCAUUGUUGUAGACACAGCUGGUCAACGCUAUUAUUUGCAAAAAAUAUGAGCGGUGUAACACCAGAAAAACGUGCAAAAUAUGAGCGGACGACGGAGGAGCAGCUGCAAUUUUAUGUGCAGUUUUGUAGGGAGCAUCCGGAGCUGCAAAAA